rnacentral:rRNA from 1 species
UACGUAGGGUGCAAGCGUUGUCCGGAAUUAUUGGGCGUAAAGCGCUCGUAGGCGGUCUGUCGCGUCUGCUGUGAAAACUCGGGGCUUAACCCCGGGCCUGCAGUGGGUACGGGCAGACUAGAGUGCGGUAGGGGAGACUGGAAUUCCUGGUGUAGCGGUGAAAUGCGCAGAUAUCAGGAGGAACACCGAUGGCGAAGGCAGGUCUCUGGGCCGAUACUGACGCUGAGGAGCGAAAGCGUGGGGAGCGAACAGG